rnacentral:rRNA from 1 species
AUUGAACGCUGGCGGCAGGCUUAACACAUGCAAGUCGAGCGGAGAUGAGGUGCUUGCACCUUAUCUUAGCGGCGGACGGGUGAGUAAUGCUUAGGAAUCUGCCAUUUAGUGGGGGACAACAUUCCGAAAGGAAUGCUAAUACCGCAUACGUCCUACGGGAGAAAGCAGGGGAUCUUCGGACCUUGCGCUAAAUGAUGAGCCUAAGUCGGAUUAGCUAGUUGGUGGGGUAAAGGCCUACCAAGGCGACGAUCUGUAGCGGGUCUGAGAGGAUGAUCCGCCACACUGGGACUGAGACACGGCCCAGACUCCUACGGGUGGCAGCAGUGGGGAAUAUUGGACAAUGGGGGGAACCCUGAUCCAGCCAUGCCGCGUGUGUGAAGAAGGCCUUAUGGUUGUAAAGCACUUUAAGCGAGGAGGAGGCUACUGAGACUAAUACUCUUGGAUAGUGGACGUUACUCGCAGAAUAAGCACCGGCUAACUCUGUGCCAGCCGCCGCAGUAACAC